GUAUAAUUAAAAGUAUAAUUUUGUAAUUUUAAUUUAGACAAAUGGGAUAGGGAAAUAGGUAGAAAAUUAAUUUUAACUAGUUCUUUGGUAAGCCAGUACAAUAAUAUUGAAAAUCAAAAGUAAAAAAGCUGAAAAGGAUAUAAAAAACAUGGUCAAUAACUUUAUCUAAAAGUAUACAAAUGUACAUUCAACAAAGAAAUAUAAAUUUUGUCAUGUUUUCAAAUGUAGGUCAUGAACUAGACAACAAAGGAGUAAUCAAUGUAUUCUAAAUCAUCAAUAUCAUAUUAUAUUCCUCAAAGCCAGCAACAAUUAAAAUUUUCAGAUAUUUGGAAAUCACUAAGCCCAUUAUUAAGUAAUCUUGAAGUUAGAGAGAAAACAAUAGGUGAAUUAUGAAAACAAUGUAGUAUAAUGAUAAAUACCUUUAGAUAUGUAAGUUUUUGAGAAUGCAUUUAAAACAGAAAUUGGAGGUAUAUUUCUAAAUUUAAGUACAUUUUUUGGAAAAAACUAAAAAUCUAAUAAAUCAUCCUUCUGAAAACCUAGAAAAAGCAUACAAGUAAACAAAAAGCACAACAAAUUUAAGAAACAAACUAAGAAACAACAGAAGACAAAAUAUUAAAAUGAGAAAAUAAUUUUUGAUAUUAGUAGCAACACUAAUUAAGAACAUAAGGUAUGCAGAUGAAACAGAAUUUUGAAAAAGCUAUUAAUAGAGAUGUAACAUAGAUAAAAAACGUGGUCUUCAAAUAGCAGGAAAAAAUGUUUAUCCUGGUUCCUUUCACAAAUUCCUCCAAACUCUCAAAGAUACACAGAAAGCAACAAAUAUGAACAAACAGAAAAUAGAAAAGCACAACAAACUAGACCUGUUCAUUUCACACUCUCCUAUUGGGUUGGUGUAAAAGUUAUUGCGGUUUUUGCCAUUAAAAAUAAUGUCAAAAACAGCAAUAAUUUUCCACUAACCCAAUAACAAUAUUUUGUUUAUAAUUUGCCUUUUUCUGCAUAUGGGACUAAUCCAAGUAUUUAGUUUCUGUUUGGGCAUUAUGAUUGGGAUGGGUUUGUGGGUGGUGGAUAUAUAGAGUGUUGGCACAAUUUGCUAUGUAGGGUUUGCUCUUAGAUAUCCAGAUAGAGUUACCAGGCAGUAGUCCAUCACCUCUCUGAGUCUGAAGGUCUGAGAACAGGGUGGGUCGGAGAAUAUAGCAAGAACUCUGUGAGGAAUUAGAGAUAUGGGGGUUACACCCUUGACCUACAUGUAGCCAGCAAGCCCUAUUCAAUGUGCUGAGUUUAGAGAAAGGCUCAGACAAGGGCCUAGAGGAUGGGCAGGAGAAUCCGCAAGCUUCCCAGGGUUCUGCCUGGGCCAGGGCCUUGCCCAGCACAGCCUUGAAAGGACAGAACUGGGGUCCUGCAGUCCACCUCUGUGGGCACCUGGAACUACGACCAUCCCACCUGCCCUAGUGUAGACAGGGGCUACAGGAGACGAAGCCUCCGUUUUCUCCUGUAUAUAAUGUGAGGUGCUUAGAGCAUGAAACCACAGGGUUCCACAUGCUUGGAUAGUGUUUGUUGACCUUGGUUUUUUAUGAAUGACCCCGUGUGUGCUGAGACACUUGGAAAAAGCUAUUCACUCUGGGGGUCCUUCGGAGCAGACAGAGGCUUGGUAGUUUGGGUGGAUGAGGAUUUGGGAUAGGACAGAAUGUGCCCAGGCACUGGACCCUGUGUCAAAAGUCCCGGAACACGAUCGAACUUCAUUUGGAAGUUGGGGGAAAUUGCUGCCCUGGCUGUGGUGAGGACACCUCGAGAGUGAACUUUACACCCCAGGAACUGGAGGCAAAGAGGGGACAAGAGAGACUGCUGAGGUCCUUCUCACUGCCCUUGGAGCCUGCAGAUCCUGCUCGUCUGCCUCCUGGGAACCUGGAGAGCCACUGACUUGAGGAAUCCUAAAUGCAGUUCCCUGUUUUGUUCUGUGAUGCUCCUGCCUGAGGCUGCAGUGCUGAUGCUGGCUACAGGGUGGGUGGGAGGACAGUGUUCUGUGUUCCUGGUGCCCACUGUGCUGUUCUCAUGCAUCUGGGUCCAGGGGAGAGUCAUGCUGAGGUCAUGCAGUUCCUGUUCUUAUGAAUGAUCUCCACAUUAUGAGAUGGCCAGAAGCAGGAAGGGGCAUUUGACAUCCUCCCAUUUAUUCACUCAGCAACUCUGCCCUUAGCAUUAGUCCUGUGUGCCAGGUGCCCUGGUGGGCCCAGCAUAUGGUACUGAAAAUGUCCACGUGGUCCCUGACCCUCAGGGGCCCACAGUCUGAGGACAGGUAGACAUCAAGCCCCAAGUUGAUACCUAGGUGUCGGGUGGACAUCACGUCCCAGAUGGACACCUCGGCCAGAGGUGGACUUCAGGUCCCAAAUGGAUAUUCGGCCAUAGGUAGAUAUCUGGCCACAGGUGGAUAGCCAGUCCCAGGUGGACAUCAGGCUCCAGGAUGACAUCAGUCCCCAAGAGGAUAUCUAGGCCCCAGGUGGAUACCCACUGCGUACUUGUAAAUUAUCAAGAAUUUUUUUUUAAAGCAAGUGAGAGCUAUCAUAAAACAUGAUAACUUUUAGUAGAUUUUGAAUAUUCCUAAACUCCAUGAGAAAUCAUAAUAAAUAUUUUAAAAAUCAGUGUGUAUAUGGAAUGAGUAUUUUUAAAUGUAUCUUUCAUGUUAAAGUAUUUAGAAUAAAAUGUUACAAAAGUUAUCUGUGUUAUUCGUAGAAAGUGUAGACAAUGAAAAAAAUCAGAGACUAAAAAUACCUAUAUUUUUGGCUAUGAGAUAAUCGCUGCUAUGGCACAUUCCUUCUAACCUUAUUGCCAUAGAUUUUUUAUACCUAAUAUUGAUUUUAUGCCACACAUUUUAUUACAUAUGCAAUGGAGUAUUACUUAUUCAUUACUAAGUCACAAAGAGUUUGAUUGUGUGUAUAUUUAAAAAGGCAAAGGAGACAAAUUUACAAAAUUCAGGUUUUUCCACUUAGCAUUUUAUCAAUAAACAUGAGUGGUUGAGUGCAUAUGCAUGAGAGAUUUGGUUCUGCAUUUAUUUCGGAUGGUCUCAUGUCCUAUGUGCUUAUCACUAAAUAUGAUGCUAUUGUAAACCAUAUGCAUUUAUUUUUACAUAUGUCCUUGAACAAAAACAUUUACCUUUGAUGUUAAAGCAAAUAAACAACAACAAUCUGUUCUAAUGCCAGAGGAACAGCAAACUGAGGGUGAUUGUAAAAUUAUAUAUAUGAAUACAUCACUUUAGAGGCCACUUAAUUUUUUUCCAAGGGGAUCUUUGACUAUAUGUCAUUUGUAUUUUAUUUAAUGAUUUUAUAAUUUAACCCCUAAAUUAUAAAUCUAGAAUUUAGAAGGUAUAUUUCCUUACUGAAUUACAUUUUUGGAAAUAUUAUUUUAUAUGUGUACAAAUAUUACAAGUCAUUGUAGACACUGGAAAAGUAUAUUAUUAUUUAAAGGCAAUAAAGAUUCUACAAUAAACUGGUAUACCAAAUAAAAUUGUUGGUGCAUUUUUUCCAGUAGAUUUUGUACAUAUUACAUAUUUAACCUUUUUUAUUCAGCACAUAUUUUUUGAGUAUUUACUAAGUGUCUGCAUUACGAACUGAGUUUAAAGAGUGAAAUAACAGACAUGGCCUCAGACAUUAAAAAUUAAAGUUAGGUCCCCUAUUUAUAUAUUUAAAAAUGGUAAUUAUGAAAACUUGUUGAGAUUUUUACCUAGAUAACAUUACAAUAAUACACUUGAUGUUGUUAAUAUUUGCAAGUGAGCAAAAAAGAAAAUAAAAAGAUGGUUUAAUUCAUUCAAUGUACACUUUAAAAUUGCAGAAAAUAGUCGUUUCUUUGCUUUGCAACUGAAUGUCUAUGUGUUUUUCUCUGCAACUUGGCUUUUGUGGAGUGAGAGAAACAAUUAUUCAUCCAGCCCAAUAAAGGCAGAAGAGUAACAAUAAAUCUAAUAUUUUAAAUGCUGAUCAAAAGAUAGUAAACAUAUUAUUUCAGAAUACUGAGG
rnacentral:lncRNA from 1 species